GGCCCAAAUUCGGAGUAGAGUAGAUUAGAAGGGUCAUCUGACCCUAUUAAACUACUCUAAUUCGAGUUUGUGCCC
rfam:Haemonchus contortus, ISE/inbred ISE, WGS project CAVP01000000 data, contig: Hcontortus_30938